rnacentral:rRNA from 1 species
GACGAACGCUGGCGGCGUGCUUAACGCAUGCAAGUCGAACGAGGCCCAACCAGUGGCAACACUGGGGAAGGCCUAGUGGCGAACGGGUGAGUAACACGUGAGGAACCCACCCCGGAGACCGGGAUAAGCCCUCGAAAGGGGGGCUAAUACCGGAUGCCCUCACCGGAUCGCCUGGUCUGGUGAGGAAAUGGAUUCCGCUCCGGGACGGCCUCCCGGCCUAUAAGCUUGUUGGGGGGGUAACGGCCCACCAAGGCGUAGACGGGUAGCUGGUCUGAGAGGACGAUCAGCCACAGUGGGACUGAGACACGGCCCAGAUUCCUACGGGAGGCAGCAGCGGGGAAUAUUGCGCAAUGGGCGAAAGCCUGACGCAGCAACGCCGCGUGAGGGAUGAAGGCUCUCGGGUUGUAAACCUCUUUCAGCAGGGACGAAAACAGACGGUACCUGCAGAAGAAGCCCCGGCCAACUACGUGCCAGCAGCCGCCGUAAAAC